rnacentral:rRNA from 1 species
CUCGUAGGCGGCUUGGCAAGUCGAUCGUGAAAGCCCGGGGCUUAACCCCGGGACGCCGGUCGAUACUGCCAUGGCUUGGGUCCGGUAGAGGAGAAUGGAAUUCCCGGUGUAGCGGUGAAAUGCGCAGAUAUCGGGAGGAACACCAGUAGCGAAGGCGGUUCUCUGGGUCGGUACCGACGCUGAGGAGCGAAAGCGUGGGGAGCAAACAGGAUUAGAUACCCUGGUAGUCC